rnacentral:ncRNA from 1 species
UAGUAAUCGUGUUUCAAAAUAGCACGGUGAAUAUGCCCCUGCUCCUUGCACACACCGCCCGUCAAACCACCUUAGUUGGGUCUGGACGAGGGUUUGUCUUAUGACACGCUCGAAUCUGGGUUCAGCGAGGAGGGUUAAGUCGUAACAAGGUAUCCGUAGGGGAACCUGCGGAUGGAUCACCUCCU